rnacentral:rRNA from 1 species
UACGUAGGGUGCAAGCGUUAAUCGGAAUUACUGGGCGUAAAGCGUGCGCAGGCGGUUAUGUAAGACAGAUGUGAAAUGCCCGGGCUUAACCUGGGAACUGCAUUUGUGACUGCAUGGCUAGGGUUUGGCAGAGGGGGGGUAGAAUUCCACGUGUAGCAGUGAAAUGCGUAGAUAUGUGGAGGAACACCGAUGGCGAAGGCAGCCCCCCUGGGUCAAGACUGACGCUCAUGCACGAAAGCGUGGGGAGCAAACGAGG